UUCGCCUACGGGACGCAGCAGUGAGGAAUAUUGGUCAAUGGGCGGGAGCCUGAACCAGCCAAGCCGCGUGAGGGAAGAAGGUACAGCGUAUCGUAAACCUCUUUUGUCAGGGAACAAAGGCGGGGACUAGUCCCCGGAUGAGGGCACCUGAAGAAAAAGCAUCGGCUAACUCCGUGCCAGCAGCCGCGGUAAUACGGAGGAUGCGAGCGUUAUCCGGAUUUAUUGGGUUUAAAGGGUGCGCAGGCGGCCUGUUAAAUCAGCGGUAAAAGCCCGGGGCUCAACCCCGGCGAGCCGGUGAAACUGGG
rnacentral:rRNA from 1 species